GUGCCAGCCGCUGCGGUAAUACGAAGGGGCGAGCGUUGUUCGGAAUUACUGGGCGUAAAGGGCGCGUAGGCGGCGACUCAAGUUAGAUGUGAAAGUCCUGGGCUUAACCUGGGGACUGCAUUUGAUACUGGGUUGCUUGAAUUCGGGAGAGGAUAGCGGAAUUCCCAGUGUAGAGGUGAAAUUCGUAGAUAUUGGGAAGAACACCGGUGGCGAAGGCGGCUAUCUGGACCGACAUUGACGCUGAGGCGCGAAAGCGUGGGAGCAAACAGGAUUAGAUACCCUGGUAGUCCACGCCGUAAACGAUGAAUGCUAGACGCUGGGAGCGAUGCUC
rnacentral:rRNA from 1 species